rnacentral:rRNA from 1 species
UCCGGAGGGGGCUAGCGUUGUUCGGAAUUACUGGGCGUAAAGCGCGCGUAGGCGGCUUUGUACGUUAGAGGUGAAAGCCCGGAGCUCAACUCCGGAAUUGCCUUUAAGACUGCAUCGCUAGAAUCAUGGAGAGGUGAGUGGAAUUCCGAGUGUAGAGGUGAAAUUCGUAGAUAUUCGGAAGAACACCAGUGGCGAAGGCGACUCACUGGACAUGUAUUGACGCUGAGGUGCGAAAGCGUGGGGAGCAAACAGG